rnacentral:rRNA from 1 species
CAGUAGCCGCGGGAAAACGUAGGUGGCAAGCGUUGUCCGGAAUUAUUGGGCGUAAAGGGCUCGCAGGCGGUUUCUUAAGUCUGAUGUGAAAGCCCCCGGCUCAACCGGGGAGGGUCAUUGGAAACUGGGAAACUUGAGUGCAGAAGAGGAGAGUGGAAUUCCACGUGUAGCGGUGAAAUGCGUAGAGAUGUGAAGGAACACCAGUGGCGAAGGCGACUCUCUGGUCUGUAACUGACGCUGAGGAGCGAAAGCGUGGGGAGCGAACAGGAUUAGAUACCCCGGUAGUCCCUGUCUCUUAUAC